rnacentral:rRNA from 1 species
UACGUAGGGUGCGAGCGUUAAUCGGAAUUACUGGGCGUAAAGGGUGCGCAGGCCGCGCGGGCAGUCAAAUGUGUAAUUCAGGGGCUCAACCCCUGCACUGCGCUUGAUACUUCCGCGCUCGAGCUUUGGAGAGGAGUCUGGAAUUCUCGGUGUAGCAGUGAAAUGCGUGGAUAUCGAGAAGAACACUUAGGGCGUAGGCAAGACUCUGGACAAAUGCUGACGCUCAUGCACGAAGGCUAGGGUAGCGAACGGG